AUGUAAAUGCUUACAACAUAGUGUUAAUGCACCGGAUCCCAUUAGAACUCUGAAGUUAAGUGCACUCAGGCUAGACUAGUACUCGGAUUGGUGAUCGCCCAAGAAGUCCUAGUGUUUUACAUG
rfam:Picea glauca, whole genome shotgun sequence.